CUGAAGUUCUGCUCACCAUUUGGCAUGGGAGUACCAUUGUAUGUCUGCAAUAUUCUUUCAGCAGCCCCGUGACUGGUAAACUCAAUAAAUCCAUAACCUUCUACUUGACCAGUUUGCUUAUUACGAAUGACUUUAACAGAAACAACCUCUCCAGUGUGAGCGAAGCAGCUGUGAAGAUAAUUCUCAUCCAUCCAGUACUGCAAAUCCCCGAUCCAAAGCGUACGGAUCUCAUCAGCACUAGCAGGUUGACCCGGUUGCUGUUG
rnacentral:misc_RNA from 1 species